rnacentral:lncRNA from 1 species
GUUUUAACUGGCUGGGGGACUGGUCAUGUCCUGUGCUGGCAGAUUAUCAUUGCUGGGGCUGCAGGAUUAUUAAAGGGCCAGGACUGUAAGGUUAUUUGAAGCCAGAGAACUCCUAUACAAAUUAAGUGGGCACAAAAUAUCCAGCUGAGAACCUGCGAGGAAUGUGAGUGCCCUGAGGUUCCAGCUCUUCCACAAGGCCAGUGGAAAGAAAAACCCUUCUGAAACGAGUGAAGUUUUAUUAUGAAAAAGGAGAAACUUCCACCCCUCAAAGGACAUGGCACCUAUGAGAAAGAGUAAUGGUGGCACAUUGGAGAGUAGGGGCCUGCAGUAGUAAUGCAAAGAGGGAUGCAAAUCAGAG